UUACCACGUUAUAUCCAAAUUCGUGUUAUAGCCGGUGGCGUUAUAUCGAGGUAGCGGUGUAGUUCUGGUCUGACCAAAAUAUUGGCUGAUCCCCCAUAAUUUCCCACAACCGUGAAAAUUUUAAUUGGAAUGAAAUGCUUAAAACCCAGAUUGUUCUGCAACUGUGAAAGUUUAAAUCAAUAAAUAUAAAAAUUGCUUAAAAUAAACAUUAUCUGUCAAAAUUAUAUAUUAUAAAAAAAAAUUCUGCCAAGCCUGACUAUUCCGCCUUAAACACACAACUCCUCCAGGCUCAUCCUCACAGGAGGAUGCCUCAGUGACCCUCUACACCAGCACAGGGGCUGAUUGUAGGCAAGGAGCUCGUUUGGGUUUUAAUUACAGGCUAAUUUCACUGAAAGUUACCUGUCACAGGUGUGACUGUAUAUUUUUUCACUAAAGCCUCAAGGAGUGAAAUUGGUUGGGUCAUUCCUUCUCUUCAAACAACAGGAGUCAGUUUCAGGAAAGGAAACACCCCCUUGCUGCUGCUGGAGGGGCAUAGUGUGAAUUCAGGAAACUGAAACUAACCCUGUUCCACUGCCCAGAGGGAGCCAUGGCUGCAGAGAACCCCGUGGAAAGUCUCCAGGAAGAAGCUACAUGUCCCGUCUGUCUCGAAUAUUUCACAGAACCUGUCACUCUGGAGUGUGGGCACAAUUUCUGCCGAGCCUGCAUCAGCCAGUGCUGGGAGGGAUCCGAUACAGCCGCCUCCUGCCCUCAGUGCGGAGAAACUGUGCAACAGGGGAACCUCAGGCCCAACAGGUAGUUGGCAAAUGUCACAGAAAUCACCAAGCGGCUGAGUUUACAAGCAGCAAAGGAAGCAGGAGGGGACGGGGUGUGUGGGGAACACCAGGAGACUCUGAAACUGUUCUGUGAAGAGGAUCAAACCCCCAUCUGUGUGGUGUGCGACAGAUCCCGGGCUCACCGCACUCACACGGUGGUUCCCAUAGAGGAGGCUGCCCAGGAGUCCAAGGAAAGAAUCCAGGCCCAUUUGAAGACUCUGAGGGAAGAGAGAGAAAAACUGCUGGGAUUGAAAGUGACUGGAGAAGGGAAUAGCCGGGAGUAUCUG